rnacentral:rRNA from 1 species
UACGUAGGGGGGCGAGCGUUGUCCGGAUUUAUUGGGCGUAAAGAGCUCGUAGGCGGCUUGGCAAGUCGGGUGUGAAACCUCCAGCUCAACCUGGAGACGCCACUCGAUACUGCCAUGGCUAGAGUCCGGUAGGGGACCACGGAAUUCCUGGUGUAGCGGUGAAAUGCGCAGAUAUCAGGAGGAACACCGGUGGCGAAGGCGGUGGUCUGGGCCGGCACUGACGCUGAGGAGCGAAAGCGUGGGUAGCAAACAGG